rnacentral:misc_RNA from 1 species
UCUCCGUAGGUGAACCUGCGGAGGGAUCAUUACAGAGUUCAUGCCCUACCGGGUAGAUCUCCCACCCUAUGUUAUUAUUACUUUGUUGCUUUGGCGGGCCGUUAGGCUCCGGCCCGACUACCGGCCCCGGCUGGUAAGCGCCCGCCAGAGGAUCCAAAACCCUGAAUAUUAGUGUCGUCUGAGUACUAUAUAAUAGUUAAAACUUUCAACAACGGAUCUCUUGGUUCUG